GCUCUCAUGGCGUAGUGGUCACUGUGCUUGCCUUGCACGCGGGAGACCCGGGUUCAAUUCCCGGUGGGGUCA
rnacentral:tRNA from 1 species